rnacentral:rRNA from 1 species
AAGCUGAGGCCGACAGGCGUAGGCGAUGGAUAACAGGUUGAUAUUCCUGUACCACCUAUAAUCGUUUUAAUCGAUGGGGGGACGCAGUAGGAUAGGCGAAGCGUGCGAUUGGAUUGCACGUCUAAGCAGUAAGGCUGAGUAUUAGGCAAAUCCGGUACUCAUUAAGGCUGAGCUGUGAUGGGGAGAAGACAUUGUGUCUUCGAGUCGUUGAUUUCACACUGCCGAGAAAAGCCUCUAGAUAGAAAAUAGGUGCCCGUACCGCAAACCGACACAGGUAGUCAAGAUGAGAAUUCUAAGGUGAGCGAGCGAACUCUCGUUAAGGAACUCGGCAAAAUGACCCCGUAACUUCGGGAGAAGGGGUGCUCUUUAGGGUUAACGCCCAGAAGAGCCGCAGUGAAUAGGCCCAAGCGACUGUUUAUCAAAAACACAGGUCUCUGCUAAACCGUAAGGUGAUGUAUAGGGGCUGACGCCUGCCCGGUGCUGGAAGGUUAAGAGGAGUGGUUAGCUUCUGCGAAGCUACGAAUCGAAGCCCCAGUAAACGGCGGCCGUAACUAUAACGGUCCUAAGGUAGCGAAAUUCCUUGUCGGGUAAGUUCCGACCCGCACGAAAGGCGUAACGAUUUGGGCACUGUCUCAACGAGAGACUCGGUGAAAUCAUAGUACCUGUGAAGAUGCAGGUUACCCGCGACAGGACGGAAAGACCCCGUGGAGCUUUACUGUAGCCUGAUAUUGAAAUUCGGCACAGCUUGUACAGGAUAGGUAGGAGCCUUUGAAACGUGAGCGCUAGCUUACGUGGAGGCGCUGGUGGGAUACUACCCUAGCUGUGUUGGCUUUCUAACCCGCACCACUUAUCGUGGUGGGAGACAGUGUCAGGCGGGCAGUUUGACUGGGGCGGUCGCCUCCUAAAAGGUAACGGAGGCGCUCAAAGGUUCCCUCAGAAUGGUUGGAAAUCAUUCAUAGAGUGUAAAGGCAUAAGGGAGCUUGACUGCGAGACCUACAAGUCGAGCAGGGUCGAAAGACGGACUUAGUGAUCCGGUGGUUCCGCAUGGAAGGGCCAUCGCUCAACGGAUAAAAGCUACCCCGGGGAUAACAGGCUUAUCUCCCCCAAGAGUUCACAUCGACGGGGAGGUUUGGCACCUCGAUGUCGGCUCAUCGCAUCCUGGGGCUGUAGUCGGUCCCAAGGGUUGGGCUGUUCGCCCAUUAAAGCGGUACGCGAGCUGGGUUCAGAACGUCGUGAGACAGUUCGGUCCCUAUCCGUCGUGGGCGUAGGAAAUUUGAGAGGAGCUGUCCUUAGUACGAGAGGACCGGGAUGGACAUACCUCUGGUGUACCAGUUGUCGUGCCAACGGCAUAGCUGGGUAGCUAUGUGUGGACGGGAUAAGUGCUGAAAGCAUCUAAGCAUGAAGCCCCCCUCAAGAUGAGAUUUCCCAACUUCGGUUAUAAGAUCCCUCAAAGAUGAUGAGGUUAAUAGGUUCGAGGUGGAAGCAUGGUGACAUGUGGAGCUGACGAAUACUAA